rnacentral:rRNA from 1 species
UACGUAGGGUGCGAGCGUUAAUCGGAAUUACUGGGCGUAAAGCGUGCGCAGGCGGUUUCGUAAGCUGGAGGUGAAAUCCCCGGGCUCAACCUGGGAAUGGCCUUCAGGACUGCGAGGCUAGAGUGCGGCAGAGGGAGGUGGAAUUCCACGUGUAGCAGUGAAAUGCGUAGAUAUGUGGAGGAACACCGAUGGCGAAGGCAGCCUCCUGGGCCAGCACUGACGCUCAUGCACGAAAGCGUGGGGAGCAAACAGG